GGUUGCGGCCGGAGCGGACCCGGAGCGAACUUACAAGGCGGAUGUCGGCGGUUCGAAACCGUCCGCGCCCACCA
rnacentral:tRNA from 1 species